CUGCCGGGAAGGACCCCGCCGGCCCGGGCGGCUGCGCAGCGCCGCGGCGCCCCCGCCCGCCUGGCCUGGGGUCGGACCCGCAGCCCAGUAUUGCAUUCAGAAGGGAUCCUGGCGGGCGGAGACACAAGUCGGGAGACCUGAUUCUGCCUCUGCCACACCUGAGGCAACUCUCGCAGCCUCUCUAGGCCCAAGUUCCCUCAUCUAUAAAUAAAGUGGGACUUCCCUGGUGGUGCAGUGGUUAAGAAUCCGCCUGCCAAUGCAGGGGACACGAGUUCGAGCCCUGGUCCGGGAAGAUACCACAUGCCGCGGAGCAACUAAGCCCGUGCACCACAACUGCCGAGCCUGCGCUCUAGAGACUGUGAACCACAACUACUGAGCCUGCACCCUACAGCCCACGAGCCACAACUACUGAGCCCGUGAGCCACAACUACUGAAGACCACGCGCCUAGAGCCCAUGCUCUGCAAUAAGAGAAGCCACUGCAGCCCGCGCACCGCAACAAAGAGUAGCCCCUGCUCUCUGCAACUAGAGAUAGCCCGUGCGCAGCAACGAAGACCCAACGCAGCCAAAAAUAAAUAAAAUAAAUUAAUAAAAUAAAUAGAGCGGUUCAAGAAAGGACCUUAAGAGUCGCCCAUCAGAUUUGAAAUUCUGUGUGCAAACUGUUUCCCGAGGACAGCUGAAAGGAAGGUGAAGUCUUGGCAUCUCCUCUUUGAAGCUCAGGGAACCUUAAGGCUUCGACUCUACCAUACACAGAGGCUUCCAUGAAAGCUGUGAAGCCAUGAACAUCACACUCGUUGACAUCUGCUACUUUCGGAAGUAAAAGUUGGAGCACCUUCACAUUUCCAGCGAUGCCAGCAAGUAUGAAGGGAGUGGCUCCAUUCCUCUUCCGCAGACAAGGCUCAGCACCAUGAUUAAGCAGAAGAUUCACAAUGUCCUCGUUGCCACUUUGCACUGCAUUAUGCAAAGGUGACCAGCCCCAUUCUUCAUCCUGGAAAUUGACAUCAGCCCCUUUUUUUAGCAAUUGCUGGAUCCACUCAAUGUCUUCCUUUUUAGUAGCUUUAAUCAACAAUUUAUUGUCUUCCACUGAAGCCCUCCCAUUAGUAGCGGGUGUGGGUCUUUCCUGAGGAUUGUUAGGGCUCUUGGUCUCCAUGAUGGUAAAUACCACUGGUUACAAAUUUUUUGCCUUUUUUUCAAGAAAAUGAAAAACUUAUCUCCUUGGGAUUUGAUCAAAGAAACGUGGAACUCUUAGAAAAUCCUGUCAGGGUCAAUCAGAAUUAUCUGGCUACAGACCACCAGUAACAGGAAGGACAAUACUCUUGAAGUCUUCUGACUUUCCACCUGGAGAUGAGAGAGGAACUUUAUAAUUUUAUAAUAGUGAGAAAACAUUUAGACUUCCCUGGUGGUGCAGUGGUUAAGAAUCUGCCUGCCAAUGCAGGGGACACGGGUUUGAGCCCUGGUCUGGGAAGAUCCCACAUGCCGUGGAGCAACUAAGCUCGUGAGCCACAACUACUGAGCCCAUGUGCCACAACUACUGAAGCCCACGCACCUAGAGCCCAUACUCCACAACAAGAGAAGCCACCACAAUGAGAAGACUGUGCACCGCAACAAAAAGUAGCCCCUGCUCGCAGCAACUAGAGAAAGCCUGAACGCAGCAACGAAGACCCAAUGC